rnacentral:rRNA from 1 species
UACGUAGGGUGCGAGCGUUAAUCGGAAUUACUGGGCGUAAAGUGUGCGCAGGCGGCCGAGCAAGUCGAGUGUGAAAGCCCCGAGCUUAACUUGGGAACUGCGCUCGAAACUACUUGGCUAGAGUCCGGAAGAGGAGAGUGGAAUUCCUGGUGUAGCGGUGAAAUGCGCAGAUAUCAGGAAGAACACCCGUGGCGAAGGCGGCUCUCUGGGACGGUACUGACGCUGAGACGCGAAAGCGUGGGGAGCAAACAGG